AAAAACACGGAGCAAAAAAAAAAGACGCGAGAAUGAAACACGGAGCAAAAAAAAAAGACACGGACCAAAAUCAGCUACCAAUGUAUUCUGUUUGCUAUUCUUUCUUCUAAAUCCCUAAAUCCCCAUUCAGCAUAUUCAGAUCUUCUUUGCCGCCUCACCGGAAGGUGAGGAAACCCGGCCUUCCGGCUUCUGGAGUUCGAUUGAAGAGGGACGAAAGAAGAUGAGUUCAUGGACAUGCUGCAGGGCACUCGAGAUUAUUCGAUUUUCUUCAGCCACUACCGUUGCUGCCGCAUCAGCCUCUUCUAUCUCUGGCUUCAACCGUCCCGGAGUCAUCGGACGUGGUUAACACUCUGGCGACCCCUAAUUCUUCUUCGAUCUCUUCAUCGUCCAUUGAAGGUUAUUUCUUCUCUUUACUACAGCCUCCGAAUUAAAGGUCACUAAUGCUUGGUGUUGUGGAUUGGGGUUUCCUGCGUUUAUCCACCUAAUAGUGAUGAGGAGAAGGAGAUGCUUAGUUGAUUUUUUAUCCUUAUUGUAAUUCUCAGGUCUGUGUGAGGGUGGAUGUGCUGCAAUUAUGGAUUCAAGGACAUCCUUUCUAGCUGGUCCAACCGUACGCGUGCACUCAGGAGGAUUCACCGAUUCAGGCUCUGUUUGUAUAGUGGAUCUCAAUAUUCAAGGUGAAGUUUUCAUUAUUUUUGNNN
rnacentral:lncRNA from 1 species